UACGUAGGGUGCGAGCGUUGCCCGGAUUUAUUGGGCGUAAAGGGCGCGUAGGCGGCUCGGCACGUCCGUUGUGAAAUCGCCCGGCUCAACUGGGCGGGGUCAGCGGAUACGGUCAAGCUUGAGCAAGCUAGGGGGUAAUGGAAUUCCCGGUGUAGUGGUGGAAUGCGUAGAUAUCGGGAGGAACACCAGUGGCGAAGGCGGUUACCUGGGGCUUUGCUGACGCUGAUGCGCGAAAGCGUGGGGAGCGAUCCGG
rnacentral:rRNA from 1 species